ACCACGCCUCAAUAAGGCUAGAAGUACUUCUCCAUAAUUCAACAUAUUUCUUGUCCUCGAAAAUUUAAGAUAUCUUUUAUAGUAUUUUUAGUUUUAAAUGCGGUCCUGCUCAUUGUUUCAGUUUUCGGCAAUCAUGUGCACAAUACGUGAUUGGGUUUUUGUUCUACUUUUAAAUGAACAUAGUUUACUAAAUUUCAUUGUGUUGAUAAUACCAAGGUUAUUUGCUGUUGUCAGGUGCGACUACUUUGUAGAAAUUCUACGCAGGGUUAUGAUGAAAAACUACUAUCUGAGAGAGAAGCGAACUUCUCCGUCUAUCCGAUAAUCACUGUAGACCUAGUGGUUUGCUCUGCUCGUCAUAUUAAACUCCAGAUAAUUUUAACAAGAUCGCACUUCGCAAGCAUUUAGUUUACUCAGGGAUGUGCAAGAAAAUAUCUAUAUAAUUUGGAGCGAAUACUGAUUACUAAGAAUUACUAAGAAUUUGUCGGCUGUAAAUAGAGCCAAUUGUUGGCAUUCAAUUACUCACUGGUAGGCAACGGACGUCCACUCAGUCACUAACUGGAAUAAAGACUGCAUUUUCAAGCAAAUAAAUGUCCAACUGCUAAACAAUAUGGUUUGGGUCAUGGUAUUUUCUGCAAAUCGAGAUGGAUGUGGUAGUUCUCCUAACUGGUGGUCAAUAAAAGACAAUGAAGAAAUUUUGGAAAAAGAAGAAUCGAAAGCUUUAUAGCAAAGGGGAAAAACAAUUUGUGCUCG